CCAGAUUCAGAUUUAUCCCAUGUUACCUGAUGAUGAACUGGCAGCAGCACCACCAGUACUGAAGGCGUCUCUUCCCAGUAUGAUGUUUCCACUGGUGCUCUUCCCUGAUCCAGUCCUCCCAACAAGAACCAGUCUGAGGUCUGGCACAGAGAGACAAAACAUCAACUCUGGUGGAAAAGGGAAGCGGAGUGCUGCUGUGGAUCUGCUGCAGUGUCUGGAGAGGUCAGAGGAACGGUUCUUGGAAUAGAUCAGAAGACACCAAGACCUGACCACUGCCAUGCUCCAGAACAUCCAGAGGACGGAUGAAAACCUUGGUUGAUCUGAUGAGACGAUCGUGUCUGGUCCCAGAAAUAAACUGCAUUGUCCACUACUUUUACCUUUUUCUAGAAAAAAAAAAUCAUAUUUUUUGUAAAUUCUUUUACUUUUGAGUUAUUUAAGUUCACUUGUUUUGUAUUUUACUUUUGCCAUUCGGGUCAAUAAAAAUAAAUUUGUGUUGA